AGCCAACACUGGUUUUUUUAUAUAUAUAUAUAUAUAUAUAUAUAUAUAUUUAUUUAUUUUUUAUUUUUUUUAUUUGGGGUAGCCCCCAAAAUAUUGGGAUAUAUAAAAAAAGACAACUCUGUUCCGCAGAGUAGCUGUUGACAUUAUAGUUGCUCAGGCACUUUGUUGACUCUAGAGAACCUCGGGCUAAUCGCACAUACCCGUGGCGGCGACUUUGCAUGCGGAUGUCAUCCAUAUCAACUUUCAAUGUCGGUUUCUGCGCCUACCAUGGUGACUAUGGGUAACGGGGAAUCAGGGUUCCAUUCCGUACAGGGAACCUGAGAAACAGCUACCACAUGCAAGGAAGGCAGCAGGCA